rnacentral:sRNA from 1 species
AGCAUUGUGCCUGGCACACAGUAAGUAUGCAGUCACUGUUAUUAUUUUAAAAAUUAGCUAACUUCUCUCACGGUGUCCUCCCAAUAUGCACCUUUUGCUCCUAGUGUCCAGAUACCUAGCUUUGUAUCAUUAUUUUUUCUGAUGCCCACUUUUUUUUCUUUUUUAAAUGUCUAUAGCAGUUUUAUUUUAUUAUUUAUUUUAGAUUCAGGAGGUACAUGUGCUUGUUUGUCAUAUGGAUAUAUUGCAUACUGGUGGAGAUUGGGCUUCUAGUGUACCUGUAACUCAAAUAGUGAACAUUGUACCUGAUAGACAAAGCCCUGGACUUCCCCGGGUUCCUGGACAUGAUGGCACCUCGACUCAGGCCGAUGCGUCCACCACCUCCCCCGCCGGCUAAAGCCCCGGAUCCUGGCCACCCAGAUCCCCUCACCUGAAGGCCAGGGAAGCCUUGACCCCCAGUGAUGCUGCUGUCCCUAUCUUCAAGCUGUCAGACCACACCAUCAAUGAUCCAGAGCAACACAGCCAAAAGCUGGAAUCGCCCUUAUUUCCACCCUCACCUCCAAGGGUGGAAACUUGCCCCUUCCCAUUUCUGGAGCUGGAACCCACUCCUUUUUUUCCCAUUGUUCUAUCAUCUCUAGGACCGGAACUACUACUUUCUCUUCUGUCAUCACCCUAUCUAGGGUGGUGAAAUGCCUGAAAUCUCUGGGGCUGGAAACCAUCCAUCAA